rnacentral:rRNA from 1 species
UACGGGGGGAGCAAGCGUUGUUCGGAUUUACUGGGCGUAAAGGGCGCGUAGGCGGUCACUACAAGUCAGUUGUGAAAUCUCUGGGCUUAACUCAGAACGGUCAACUGAUACUGUCGGACUAGAGUGCAGAAGGGGCAACUGGAAUUCUCGGUGUAGCGGUGAAGUGCGCAGAUAUCAGGAGGAACACCGAUGGCGAAGGCAGGUCUCUGGGCAUUAACUGACGCUGAGGAGCGAAAGCAUGGGGGAGCGAACAGGA